rnacentral:lncRNA from 1 species
AUGCCGUAGCUAAAGAUAAAAAAGGAGAAGAUAGAAAGCUCUCGUCAAGAUGAGAGGACACUCAAAGGGAUCGACAGUGAUCCAGGACUCCACCCUGACACUAAUGAUCCAAAACUCUCCCUCGGAGCCGACAACCUAGGAGUCCUAAGGGCCAACGAUGCAUGUAGCCUCCGAGGAAGUUCACCAACUACACUUCCCUAAAUGCCUC